rnacentral:rRNA from 1 species
UACGUAGGGUGCGAGCGUUGCCCGGAUUUACUGGGCGUAAAGCGCGUUCAGGCGGUUUGGCAAGUCGGGCAUGAAAUCUCUCGGCUCAACCGGGAGAGGUUGUCCGAUACUGCUGGACUUGAGGGCAGUAGAGGGUGGUGGAAUUCCGGGUGUAGUGGUGAAAUGCGUAGAUAUCCGGAGGAACACCAGUGGCGAAAGCGGCCACCUGGACUGUACCUGACGCUGACACGCGAAAGCUAGGGGAGCGAACGGG